CCUACGGGAGGCAGCAGUGAGGAAUAUUGGUCAAUGGGCGCGAGCCUGAACCAGCCAAGUCGCGUGAGGGAGGACGGCCCUACGGGUUGUAAACCUCUUUUGCCGGGGAGCAACGGGCGCCACGUGUGGCGUCACUGAGAGUACCCGGAGAAAAAGCACCGGUUAACUCCGUGCCAGCAGCCGCGGUAAUACGGGGGAUGCGAGCGUUAUCCGGAUUUAUUGGGUUAAAGGGUUGCGUGGGCGGAUCGUUAAGUCAGGGGUAAAAUUGAGGGGCUAAACCCCUUCCCGCCAUUGAAACUGGCGUUCUUGAGUGGAAGAGAAGUAUGCGGAAUGCGUGGUGUAGCGGUGAAAUGCAUAGAUAUCACGCAGAACCCCGAUUGCGAAGGCAGCAUGCCGGCUUCCGACUGACGCUGAAGCACGAAAGCGUGGGGAUCGAACAGGAUUAGAUACCCGAGUAGUC
rnacentral:rRNA from 1 species